rnacentral:rRNA from 1 species
UACAGGGGUAGCAAGCGUUGUUCGGAGUUACUGGGCGUAAAGGGUGUGUAGGCGGUUGUUUAAGUUUGGUGUGAAAUCUCCCGGCUCAACUGGGAGGGUGCGCCGAAUACUGAAUGACUUCGAGUGCGGGAGAGGUGAGUGGAAUUCCUGGUGUAGCGGUGAAAUGCGUAGAUAUCAGGAGGAACACCGGUGGUGUAGACGGCUCACUGGACCGUAACUGACGCUGAGACACGAAAGCGUGGGUAGCAAACAGG